rnacentral:rRNA from 1 species
AUUGAACGCUGGCGGCAUACCUUACACAUGCAAGUCGAACGGUAACAGGUCUUCGGAUGCUGACGAGUGGCGAACGGGUGAGUAAUGCAUCGGAACGUGCCCAGUAGUGGGGGAUAGCCCGGCGAAAGCCGGAUUAAUACCGCAUACGACCUGAGGGUGAAAGGGGGGGAUCGCAAGACCUCUCGCUAUUGGAGCGGCCGAUGUCAGAUUAGCUAGUUGGUGGGGUAAAGGCCUACCAAGGCAACGAUCUGUGGUUGGUCUGAGAGGACGACCAGCCUCACUGGGACUGAGACACGGCCCAGACUCCUACGGGAGGCAGCAGUGGGGAAUUUGGACAAUGGGCGCAAGCCUGAUCCAGCAAUGCCGCGUGCAGGAAGAAGGCCUUCGGGUUGUAAACUGCUUUUGUCAGGGAAGAAAUCUUCUGGGUUAAUACCUCGGGAGGAUGACGGUACCUGAAGAAUAAGCACCGGCUAACUACGUGCCAGCAGCCGCGGUAACAC